rnacentral:rRNA from 1 species
AUGCACGCUGGCGGCGUGCCUAAUACAUGCAAGUCGAGCGAACAGACGAGGAGCUUGCUCCUCUGACGUUAGCGGCGGACGGGUGAGUAACACGUGGAUAACCUACCUAUAAGACUGGGAUAACUUCGGGAAACCGGAGCUAAUACCGGAUAAUAUAUUGAACCGCAUGGUUCAAUAGUGAAAGACGGUUUUGCUGUCACUUAUAGAUGGAUCCGCGCCGCAUUAGCUAGUUGGUAAGGUAACGGCUUACCAAGGCAACGAUGCGUAGCCGACCUGAGAGGGUGAUCCGCCACACUGGAACUGAGACCCGGUCCCGACUCCUACGGGAGGCAGCCGUAGGGAAUCUUCCGCAAUGGGCGAAAGCUUGACGGAGCAACGCCGCGUGAGUGAUGAAGGUCUUCGGAUCGUAAAACUCUGUUAUUAGGGAAGAACAAAUGUGUAAGUAACUAUGCACGUCUUGACGGUACCUAAUCGGAAAGCCACGGCUAACUACGUG